AUUGAACGCUGGCGGAAUGCUUUACACAUGCAAGUCGAACGGCAGCACGGACUUCGGUCUGGUGGCGAGUGGCGAACGGGUGAGUAAUAUAUCGGAACGUGCCCAGUUGUGGGGGGUAACGUAGCGAAAAUUACGCUAAUACCGCAUACGAUCUACGGAUGAAAGCGGGGGAUCGCAAGACCUCGCGCGAUUGGAGCGGCCGAUAUCAGAUUAGGUAGUUGGUGAGGUAAAGGCUCACCAAGCCGACGAUCUGUAGCUGGUCUGAGAGGACGACCAGCCACACUGGGACUGAGACACGGCCCAGACUCCUACGGGAGGCAGCAGUGGGGAAUUUUGGACAAUGGACGCAAGUCUGAUCCAGCCAUUCCGCGUGCAGGACGAAGGCCUUCGGGUUGUAAACUGCUUUUGUACAGAACGAAAAGGUCUCUACUAAUACUAGGGGCUCAUGACGGUACUGUAAGAAUAAGCACCGGCUAACUACGUGCCAGCAGCCGCGGUAA
rnacentral:rRNA from 1 species